AUCAGUAGCCGACCUGAGAGGGUGAUCGGCCACAUUGGAACUGAGACACGGUCCAAACUCCUACGGGAGGCAGCAGUGGGGAAUAUUGCACAAUGGGCGCAAGCCUGAUGCAGCAACGCCGCGUGAACGAUGAAGGUCUUCGGAUCGUAAAGUUCUGUUGCAGGGGAAGAUAAUGACGGUACCCUGUGAGGAAGCCCCGGCUAACUACGUGCCAGCAGCCGCGGUAAUACGUAGGGGGCUAGCGUUAUCCGGAUUUACUGGGCGUAAAGGGUGCGUAGGUGGUCUUUCAAGUCGGUGGUUAAAGGCUACGGCUCAACCGUAGUUAGCCUCCGAAACUGGAAGACUUGAGUGCAGGAGAGGAAAGUGGAAUUCCCAGUGUAGCGGUGAAAUGCGUAGAUAUUGGGAGGAACACCAGUAGCGAAGGCGGCUUUCUGGACUGCAACUGACACUGAGGCACGAAAGCGUGGGUAGCAAACAGGAUUAGAUACCCUGGUAGUCCACGCUGUAAACGAUGAGUACUAGGUGUCGGGGGUUACCCCCCUCGGUGCCGCAGCUAACGCAUUAAGUACUCCGCCUGGGGAGUACGCACGCAAGUGUGAAACUCAAAGGAAUUGACGGGGAGGAGUACGCACGCAAGUGUGAAACUCAAAGGAAUUGACGGGGACCCGCACAAGUAGCGGAGCAUGUGGUUUAAUUCGAAGCAACGCGAAGAACCUUACCUAAGCUUGACAUCCCUUAGACCGGUGUUUAAUCACACCUUCCCUUCGGGGCUGAGGUGACAGGUGGUGCAUGGUUGUCGUCAGCUCGUGUCGUGAGAUGUUGGGUUAAGUCCCGCAACGAGCGCAACCCUUGUCUUUAGUUGCCAGCAUUCAGUUGGGCACUCUAGAGAGACUGCCAGGGAUAACCUGGAGGAAGGUGGGGAUGACGUCAAAUCAUCAUGCCCCUUAUGCUUAGGGCUACACACGUGCUACAAUGGGUGGUACAGAGGGUUGCCAAACCGUGAGGUGGAGCUAAUCCCUUAAAGCCAUUCUCAGUUCGGAUUGUAGGCUGAAACUCGCCUACAUGAAGCUGGAGUUACUAGUAAUCGCAGAUCAGAAUGCUGCGGUGAAUGCGUUCCCGGGUCUUGUACACACCGCCCGUCACACCAUGGGAGUCGGAAACACCCGAAGCCGAUUAUCCAACCGCAAGGAGGAAGUCGUCGAAGGUGGCGUCGAUAACUGGGGUGAAGUCGUAACAAGGUAGCCGUAUCGGAAGGUGCGGCUG
rnacentral:rRNA from 1 species